ACUAUUUAUUAUAUUUUUUGAAUGAAAGUAUCUUCGUAAACACACAAAAUAUUUUGUGACGUUGCAAUUAUACAUACACACAAUAUCUGCAUCUUCAUACUGGCGUUACUGUGUUCCCUCUCGUGAGGUACGGACCGAGAGAGAACACAAGGUGCAGACCGAUCAUGUUCUUAUGCCUGCACAGGGUGCGGACCGGUCACCUAGUUCUUAUAUAUUUACCCUUACAUAAUUUUAAUUUUAUAAAUGACUAUAUAUUCAUAUAUAUAUUCAGUAGUAUCUAAUCCUAAUUCCCCGUGUAUUUUGUAAUCCUCCUAUCCUACCUCACUGUAUUAUUUAACCUUCUUAGUGACAUACCUUUUGAAUCUUAUAAUAUAAUUGCUAUACCUUAGUAAAAGAAACUAUAUAUACUAUAUAUAACAAAUAAAUAAUAAGUUACAUACCAAAACCAUGACUAUUAACAUAUGCUAUAUAUCGUCCAUAGAUUUUCCAGUACAUUUUCUAUACAUUUAAAUUUUAUAUUAGAUAAAUUAUAUCUCAGCUUUCAAUUUUAAAAUUUAGAAUGAACAAAAUAAAUCUUUAUUCUGAAUAGGAAAAAAUCAUUUGGCAUAUCAUUCUAAACUAAAAGAUGAAUAAAUCAUUGAUUAUUGUUAUACUAUAAAUUUCAAAAUUUUGAAUUUGUGCAUUGUUUGUUUAAAUUCUGAAACCAAAAGAUAUUUUUUUGUUAUAUUAUAAACAUAUGUAACCAUAUAUUUUGAAAAACUUUCCAUAUAAAUUAAAACGAUAUAUAUUUUAAAUAGCCAACCUUACAAUAUUGUUUAAACUGAAAAUACAAUAAAUAAGUUUUGUAUUGUUCAAAGUAUAUUUAGUUUAACGAUUUCAAAAAUAUUCUUAUUAUUAAUUUCACAUAAUUUCAUAUCUAAAUUCAGUUCCAUGCGCUCAAACUGAACUCAAAAUUUCGGGUUCCUAACAUUGUUAUUUGAACAAAGCCAAAAAACUAAAAUAACAGAACCCAUAAAAAACCAAACUCAAAUUUAUAAAUAAUCAAACUUAUUACUAUACUUCAUAACCAAAAAAUCAAAAUCCACAACCAAAUAGAAAAAUUAAGAGUACAACUUCGACGUAAACCAAAAUUUACAAAAUAUCAUCAAAUCAUAAAAUUUUAAUUUUGAAACAUAAAUUAUAAUUAUAAAUUAUGCUAAAAUUAUAGAUAUAGAUAUAAAUAUUCUCGUGCAACCGCACGGAUCAAAAUCUAUAUUUUUUUAUAUUGGGAUACUCAUGAGUAUCUUGCAAUAUGGACAUACUCUUAAGCUUUAAUAAAUUACAAAGCAAACUACAAAUAUAACAAAUGGCCCAUUAGCCCAAGACACCAAUGUUUGUCCUCAAUAACAUUUAAACUUUUUAGCAAAAAAAAAAACAUUUAAACUUAAAACGUAUUGAAAAACAAUUGAGAGUUAGAGACCAAACAAUUAACUGGAGGACAAGGUGGGCCUGGCUUCUCCUCAAGUUGGAAACUCGAGAUCUUGCCACAAGGACCCGUUAGAUACAUAGAUAAGAAGAUAGUGACACCACGAUCUAUAUCUACAUUACCCAUCCCUCGUGUCCUUUUCGACGUGAAUCAUCACGAUCUGGAACUGGAAUACGACACGACAACGCCGACAAAGCUGUUUCUGUAUACAAAAAUAUAUAUUUUAGACACACGAUAUCAGUGCAGUGAGUUGGCCAUAAUCGAGCAAAAACAAAAGGGAAAUGUCUUUUGUUAGAUUAUAUAUUUUCCUGGAUCUAACCACAACUCAGAAAGAAUCACGUGAAUUCUAUUAUUUUAUUAAGGAAAAAUAAAACGUAUCGACAACUGAAAUUAUAAUGUUCAUAGCAUCCGACCACGCGCGUCUCCACUCUUCCCCGUUACUUCCCAACAACACUAAUGCCUUUGCGACAAACUGAAAACCAAUCUAACUUAUACUAAAAGAGGAAUAUGAUCAAAGGAGAACCUGUCCACGUUAGAUUAAAUAAUCAACUAAUCAGAAGACAUUAAUUUGCCAUAUCACAACAUCUUUGUCGAGUUAUUGAACUUUCCGUGUUGUCUCCAAAAAUUAAAUCAUGGCCCGUGUAAAGCCCAUCUGCCAAAAACCUAUCUCCUAAGCAUCUAUCAAUACGACUCUUCCACUUCGUCUUCUACGUCUCCAUCUACUGUAAAAGGCGUAACAGACCCCCCUGAUCAAUCAGUGAUACUCUUCAAUCCCCUUUUGAUGGUUUCGUUCCACCUCCCCUUCAUUCUCCACCUAUAUAAAUCACUACAUCUAAACCUAAAUUCAGACAAAAUCGGAAACUUCCACAGAAAGAGAUCACGCUAUAACCAUGAACUCUGCUAAAUCAAACGGAAAGUGUGUUCAUGAAGGAGAAGAUAAAUUGAGUUAUAUUUAGUUUUGUACAACAUCAUCUUUUACAGUGCCUUGAACAAGACCUGAACCAAGAUCGCUUGAUCUCAUGGAGCCAACAUAACCAAACUGAUAAAGAAGGAAGAAGGCUGAUCAUACAGGCCUGCGCAAUUGCCUCCGGCGCCGUCGUCUUCUCUGAGUCCUCUUUAUCGACUUGGGAGGACAAGGAUUCAUCUUUAGGUAUGCGUCGGUGGCGUAAGGCAUCAGCUUAUUUUCUCUCUUAAAUGCUUCAAAGAUCUCCUUGGCUCUCAUAAAUUUGGUUCAUUUGAUCAUUUCCAUUGAUGGGUCUGCCUUCGCUCACAGAUUACUGUUGUGUUGGAGUUUAUACCUUUUGAAACUUCCUCUAAGCAUCUCUUCCACUGUAAGUAUUUUCUCAUCUUUUAAGAGAUUAGCAAUAAUCUUAAUGUUUGAUCUGAUUUUGUUUGACAUAUCUCAGUGAUGAUAUAACUCAUUCUGAUGUUAUAUAUGAACUAUUCUUGGUAAAUUGUGAUGAUAUAUGCAGGGGAUAUCAAGCCAAUGAAGUGGGCGAGGAGGGUGAGAGCGGAUUGCGGCAACACAGAUCGCGUUUGUUUUCUCCUUUCAAUUUGCUCUUCCUUCUCUAUUUUGUUUGUUCUCCCUUCCCUUCUUUCGGUUUGGUCAAUUAUGUUGUUGUUUCUUUUGAGAUUUUCGAGUUUAUCACUAUCUUCGAAAGUGGUUGUGUUGCUAACCAUGGCGUACGUCUUUCUUCGAGUGUACAGCGAAGGCAGCAGUGGUAGGGUUUACCAGUGUGGAAUUCCAGAAAGGCCUCUCGAUUGUGAACCUUUAUAUAGAGGAUAAAGUUGCUCAUGAUUUCUGAAACAACACACACUUCUUCUUCUUAAUCCUCAAAGAUGAAUCUACCAAGUCUCCUCUCCAGAUAUGUGAUGUUUGAUCGAUCACCAAUCACCAAUCACCAUCCUAUUCUCCAGGUGGGCGUGCUUGAUGGCCAUUAGUGAAGCUCUGUCAAGAACGACUGUAGUGGAAAAUGAAUUUUUGAAUGAGUACGAAGGUGGUGGAAAAUAUAGCAUCGGUGAUCAUGGUUAUUGCUACAGCUGUGGUGGUGGUUGAUACGCGAAAUCAUAUAUACCUAUAUAUACUUCAAAUGUAUUUAUUUUUAGUUUUAUCUAUGUUCUAAGUUUAGUUAUCUAAUUAUUUAAUUUUAUUGUGUAUAUCAUGCUUAUCUGGCAUGUUUGACGGCUUGGAACACAGUUUUGUUUAUUUGUUAUAUUUAAUUUUUCUCAUUGAUCAUAUAUAAAAAAAUACAUAAUUUCUCAAAAAAUGAUAAAGCCUGGUCAAAAGUUAACUUAAAAGUAUUUUUUUGUGUAACAUAGGAGAUAAUUUUUUUUUUUUUUGUAAUGUGACAGAGAAGAUAAUUGAUAUUUUGUGUGUGUAUACAGCCUAGAUUAACUUAAAGUAUUUUUUGACUAAAAUUUGAGAUAUUUUACAUUUACUAUAGCGUUUAAUUUUGGGUCUGUAAGACACCUACAUUUAGCAAAUUAACACGACUAAUUUUUUUAUUUUUCCGUGAUACCAAACAUAGCGUUUUAUGAAUGAAAUUAGAAGUUGCACAUAUAUAACAAAGUAAGAUUAAUUUAACAGUUUAGUAAGAAAACAAUUUUACAAAUUAAGGACGUUAAUUUUACAACAUAUACCACAUAUAAAAUAUGUUGAUGUUACAUCAUUUGUAAUAAAAAAAUGAAAUCUAAAGUGUAAUAAGUGUUUUUACAAGCUGACCAAACAUCUAUACAUAUUUGAAUUCCAUCAAAAUUAAGCAUGAACAACGUAAAUAUUCCGCACAAGAAACGGAUGCCCCUUUAAUCCAAUAGGAAACAGAAAAAAUAUAUCCACAAGUGGAAGUGGUUACUAAUGGUUCAUUAAUAAUUUUACACCAAAAGUCCCAAUUCGAAACCAAAAAAAAAUUAUGUAAAUUAGUAGAAAUUUUUUUACAUGAGAUCUUCAACGUGGUUCAAGAAGUAUUAGUAGACGUGAAUCUAUAGGACAGUUCAAAAUGAUAUAAUCAGACAUGACUUUUCAUAAAUUAGGUAGCAUUGUCGGAUAUAAAAUCCUCUAUAUAUAUCCACAGAUGUAAAAAAUAUCUCUAUUUUACACACUCUGUUUUUAAUAGACGACUCUUUGAAGUUUUUUUUUUAAAUUACAAGACGUUUUAAAUUUACAAUAUAAAUUUUUAUUCUUUUAUACUAUAUAACAUUUUAUAUUUUACAGAUUAUUUUUCUGUUGAUUGAAUUACGUUUAAAUAACAUUUUUGUUUAGAAAAUAUAUAACAUUAAAUAUUUUUAAUAUGUGUGCAAAAUUUCAAUGCUUUAAAUGAAAAAAAUAGUAAUUUUGAUUUGGUAUUAGAAAUCCAGCGGCUUAUUAUCUACAACUUAUUUAACAUGUUAUAUUAUUAAAAGUUUUGGACAUCGGUAAGUUAGUAAGUUUUAAAGUACAUAUGUGCUCACAAAGAAAUAUAUAAUAACUUCUUACCAAAAAAAAAAGAAAUAUAUAAUAACUUAAACUGACACAAAUUAUAGGAUAUUGUGGGAAUGAUUAGGUUUUGUGCCUAGCCAAGCUGAAAAAUCUAUAACCUCAAUGAUUUUAACUGGAACGACAUAUAUUUGUUUUGCUUAUUUAGAUUUGAAUCCAAUGUUUUAUAACUUUAAAGGUAAAUAGAAUUCGAUUUUAUACAUUUAUUCGAGUUUACAUUUAAAAAGGCAAUAAAAUAAUUAUAAAAUAAUUUAGAAAAUAUGUGCUCAUAUAAUUUUUUGUUACCAAUGAACAAAAAAAUAUAAACAGCUCUGAAAGAUAAUUACAGUUGAUUAGCAAAAACAAAAUAAUUUCAAUAUGCAGAAUAUUAAGGAUAUUUAAUAAAACAUUAAUAAAGACAUAUACUAAUAUAACCAGUAAAUACUAAGUUGAAAAACCAAUUUAUAAAUCUUUGUUGAUACUCAAUGCGAAAAUUUGUUAUAAUAUACUCUCUCCGUUUUUUAAUUUAAGUACUUUUGCCUAAAAGCACAAAGAUUAAGAAAAUUAUUAUGUUUUAAAAAGUAUUGUAUAAUAAAAUAGGUUAGAUAUAAUUUAACCAAUCAAAAAUAAGUCUAUUUAAUUUGAUUGGUUACACUAUAUUCAAUUAAUGUAAAAGUUACCUAAAAAUAUGAAAACUACUUACAUUUUAAAACAAAAACAUUUCCCUAAAAUUAUUUACAAUAUGAAACGGAGGGAGUAAUAAAUA